AUAUGCCUACAACAUAGCAUUAAUGCAUUGGAUCCCAUUAGAACUUUGCAUUUAAGUGUGCUCAUGCUAGAGUAGUAUUGGGAUGGGUGACCAUGUUUUACAUGCCUAUGGAAUUUU
rnacentral:rRNA from 1 species